UACUAAAUUUAAUUAAAAAUUGAAAACUGAACCGUAUGUAUGUACCUUGAACUCUGGAACCUUGAAUCAAUAUAAGAUAAAAAAAAGGUAAGUAAGAAAAGGGAAAACAAAUAAUAGGGGAAGAUAAAAUUUCAGUAAACGUUUACUUGUUUCUGCUUCAAACCUGAUCCAGCGACGUAGUUGCCAAGCUCAGUGCUUCAGAAGGAUACCACUUCCAGAGAGACGUACUGGAAAAAGUCUGUCAGAAAAAGCAAGCCAGAAAAAUGCUUCGUAGAAAAAUCCUCGUAUAAAAGAAAAAUCCUGGUCCAAAAAAAAGUUCUGGUCUCAAAGCCUGGUCUUAAAAGCCUGGUCCAAAAAAAAAAGCCCUUGCUGGGCUUCACAAAAAAUCUAGUUUUUUUUCUAAUAGAUGGAUGUUCAAAUUGCUGGAUUCAGAAAGCAGAAAUUACUGGAACAGGUGGUGGUUUUAAGUUCCUCUUCCCAAGAAAAUCGACGAUGACAAAGAAAUAAAUCAAAAGGCUUUCCCAGCCACGAGCAGAUUAAAAUCCCGUAUAAAACGGCUCAGAGAUACUUUUAAAAGGUAAGGUACAACUCAAACAGCAAAAGUAUCCCUUAUAGUUCUAGUCAGUGAUUAUCCCCAACAAACGGGUAAAACAGGAAAAUUCCAACAAAUUACACUGAGUAAAACACCUGCUUUGAAGCUGAAGGGAAAAAUGGGAAACCUACAUCGAUCAGAUAGAGUUCCGCUCCGAAGAAAUUUGACUUAUACUGCAAAGUUGCAAUUUAAUAUUCUGGGAAUUUAGAAACAUUGCCAAAAUAAACAUUACUUAGAAUUAAAAGUAAAUUCCGAUAACCAUUCAAACACAAACAUACCAAACCUUAUGCCGGUGACGAUGCAUACACAAUAUUACGGAAAGGAUGUCGAUUAUGCAAUCAAUAAUUAUCAGAAAAUACAAACAUCAGAACCUAAAGGAAGUACUGCCCAACCUGACAACAGCGUGUGUGCGCCGAAUUCACGCAUCUCAACUGAUCUGAGCAAUUAAAAUAUAAAUGACAUUAUUAAUAAUAAUUGUUAACCCUACAAUUUGCAGAAAAUAAACAAAUGAUAAAUUUCAAAAAAUAUGCAGAGACAAUCCACACUUGAUAGGAAAUCUUCUAAGAUAAUACAAGGGCAAGCAGUACCGCAGAACUACUAGAAAUUACGGCAAAUAGGCUAACAUUCAGAAACAUAAACAAGUCCAGAAAUUAAAGAUUACUGAUUGAUUACUGACUUGAGAUAUGGCAUGGAAAGCAAAAUAAAUUAAGCAAAGGAGAGUAAGAAAGAUAAUGAAAUAUAGCUGUAAUGAAUAUUUGUUUAUAAAAAUUAAAUGCAAUAAAUUUAUUUAUCAGCAUAAAUAAGAGUUUGAUCUAACUUGUAAGAAAAAUUGGUAUAUAUUUUUAAACCUAGUUAAAGCUAAAUUUGGACUGUUACAAAUGUUUCCUAUUUUUUGCAUACCGUUUCCAUUUUGUGUCAAGAAACAGAGACAGGAUUA